UCGGGAAUUUUGGGCAAUGGGCGAAAGCCUGACCCAGCAACGCCGCGUGAAGGAUGAAGUAUUUCGGUAUGUAAACUUCGAAAGAAUAGGAAGAAUAAAUGACGGUACUAUUUAUAAGGUCCGGCUAACUACGUGCCAGCAGCCGCGGUAAUACGUAGGGACCAAGCGUUGUUCGGAUUUACUGGGCGUAAAGGGCGCGUAGGCGGCAAUUCAAGUCAUCUGUGAAAUCUCUGGGCUUAACCCAGAACGGCCAAGUGAUACUGUCGCGCUAGAGUGCAGAAGGGGCAAUCGGAAUUCUUGGUGUAGCGGUGAAAUGCGUAGAUAUCAAGAGGAACACCUGAGGUGAAGACGGGUUGCUGGGCUGACACUGACGCUGAGGCGCGAAAGCCAGGGGAGCAAACGGGAUUAGAUACCCCUGUAGUCCCUGAGCGGGCUGGCAAGGCGCAU
rnacentral:rRNA from 1 species